ACUGCUUAGAUUCCACAGUGUUCCUAACUAGUUGGCCGUAGAGAGUCCACGUUGUUUUUGUUGAUUUUAUGUUUUUGUAUACUUCGUAUGUCGUUGUUGUUGUUGUCAUGACCAUUUGCAUGAAGGUCUGUGUUAGUUUCUCGGUGUGUGUGCUUAUGACAAUUGUGCGAGUUGGAGAGGAUCCCUGGCAUCAACGAUGUCUUUGUUGAACAAGAGUCCACUGACGACAGUUUGUUUGAUUGAAGUCGUCGAGUGAGUGGAACUGCCUGAGUUCGAUGGCAGAAGUGGAUUUACUGGGUGGUGUUGUGUUGAGUGUAGGUCUGGAGCACGAUUUCUCUCACUUGGGUACGUCAAUGGAGUGUAAAGGACCUGAGGGACUCUGUUUUAUCUAUUUAAGCAAUGGAAAUUUCAGCCCCGAAUGAAGAUUUGUGCAUAACUAAAACAAUCGUUUGAUCCAAGUGAGAUGUAAUCGUGAGAAACUCCCAAACGCUGUGCUUCUACCUACUCCUCUGGUUGGUGUAUUUCGGCAAUUGUUUGCAUGAUCGUUGAACUCUUGCUGUAAUAAGCGAAUCUCAUGCGCUCGGAGAAACCGUCAUGUGCAAUGAACUGAGUAGGGUACAAAUUCAGCCGGCUACCCUCUAGUUAUGUCCGUGGUGGUUUCUUCCUAUUGCUAUUGAGCCACGAAUCGCGACCAGUUUACGUCGCCCUGUUGGAACGAACUUGAACACGACCAAACCUUGUAGAUGUUGGAAUGGGUCAAACCCUUGUAACAGUACCACUCAUCCAUGGAUGUAGCUCAUCCUUGUAGAUGUUUACUUAUUUAGUCUGCCGGUCAUGUACAUGAUCUGGGCCUUCGUUUGGCUCUCUCUCUUGAUCUGAUGCGAUCUCCAAAACCUACAGUAGACGUAGAGUUUACAUGAAUGUUCGAGUUUCUAAUGAACAUAUUGGAGGUCUCCAAGUAGCCGACUGUCUUAAUACGAUAACCUCCGACUACCGUGUCAGCCAAUCCGAGCCAUUACACAGAAGUGAAUGUAGACUAUUGGUAAGAUAGAGAUGACAAGUGCUUCAGAAUGAGCAUGAACUCGUUUACUUCAACUUCAGGUUCUCGACGAUUCAUUUGGUGUUGAUUGAAGAUGGAGGUGAAUGAGUUCAAGUCCUCGCAUGGGUAGAACCACUCAAUUUCGCACGUUUUCCUUCAGAGCUUACGAUGCAGUUCUUCACACUUGAUGACUCACAGUUCUGUACAGACAGAAAAAAGAGAACACGCUCACACACGAAAUGAUUUGUAGAAAGAUAGUUCUUUACUAUGCAGAACUAAGAGUGUAACAAUCGAGAUAUUGUCGAUGCUAAUUAGAACAAGUUACCCUUAUGGUUGUAGUUCUCAAGUUGGAUUAUGGAAUAAAGUGAUUUUAAUCACUUUAUCCUAUGCGGCUCCUCUUUAUCCGCCAAAAAGUUUGUAUGUACAAGUGGCAAUAUACCUAUGGUAAUAAAAUUAUACUUUAUGUCUUACGUCGUGAAUAGAAAGGUGUAUAUGUGACUUGUCGCAACAUCCUCUCUUACACAUUAUGAUUCUCUUGUCCAUUCUGUCGAAUAUGAAGUGUCAGAAUGGUGGAUUUGCGGGCGGUUGUCGGUGAGCGGACGAUGUUGGCGAUGUUUUAUCAAUUCCAUCAACUCAAUAUGCGCUGCUGCAACUCAAUCUGCCGUUGGUUUGAGGAGCAAUGUCGAAGCUUAGGGGAUACAACUCUUGUCAACUUGGGAAGCAUUUCUUAGGUGGAAGUACCUUAUCCGAUUGUGUUGAUGAGUGAUUCGGUGCCUGGUCUUUCAAAUAAGGUUGUGUGUGCUCUCGUAUGGCCAAAGCUCGCAGCAUAUGAAUCUCCUUUCACCUUCUUUCGACUGAGGUUGAUUUCUCAAGCAUGGCGUCAUCUGGUUGAUUCUUCACUGGAUUGGCAAGUCGUAGUAUUUCUAAAACUUGAUAAGGAAGGCUAUUUGUAUUAUUGUAGACAUGUUGUGAAUGAAAUGCCCCUUUCUAUAGUUCCACACUAUAGGAUGGAGCUUAGAAGAUAUUGUAUUAUGCUAGAUGAGGAUAUAAGUAAUUUUGAGACCGGGAGUUCUCUUACUCCAAACAAGGUCUCUAGUGGGGAAAAGAAAAUCCCAGGAAAAAUAGGAGGAAGGAAAAAAGAAAACAUGUUUCAUAGUUGGAGUAGGUGAUUUGGUGAGGUCCUCUUUCAGAGCUCGUCAAUGUCAUAAAUUCCAAUUUUAUAUCUCAUCUGCUGAAAUUGCACUUUUCUAAGUGGUUUCA